rnacentral:rRNA from 1 species
GAUGAACGCUGGCGGCGUGCCUAAUACAUGCAAGUCGAGCGAACAGACGAGGAGCUUGCUCCUCUGACGUUAGCGGCGGACGGGUGAGUAACACGUGGAUAACCUACCUAUAAGACUGGGAUAACUUCGGGAAACCGGAGCUAAUACCGGAUAACAUGUUGAACCGCAUGGUUCAACAGUGAAAGACGGUCUUUCUGUCGCUUAUAGAUGGAUCCGCGCCGCAUUAGCUAGUUGGUAAGGUAACGGCUUACCAAGGCAACGAUGCGUAGCCGACCUGAGAGGGUGAUCGGCCACACUGGAACUGAGACACGGUCCAGACUCCUACGGGAGGCAGCAGUAGGGAAUCUUCCGCAAUGGGCGAAAGCCUGACGGAGCAACGCCGCGUGAGUGAAGAAGGUCUUCGGAUCGUAAAACUCUGUUAUUAGGGAAGAAAAAAUGUGUAAGUAACUAUGCACGUCUUGACGGUACCUAAUCAGAAAGCCACGGCUAACUACGUG